rnacentral:rRNA from 1 species
AUUGAUUGGUGCUUGCAUCAUGAUUUACAUUUGAGUGAGUGGCGAACUGGUGAGUAACACGUGGGAAACCUGCCCAGAAGCGGGGGAUAACACCUGGAAACAGAUGCUAAUACCGCAUAACAACUUGGACCGCAUGGUCCGAGCUUGAAAGAUGGCUUCGGCUAUCACUUUUGGAUGGUCCCGCGGCGUAUUAGCUAGAUGGUGGGGUAACGGCUCACCAUGGCAAUGAUACGUAGCCGACCUGAGAGGGUAAUCGGCCACAUUGGGACUGAGACACGGCCCAAACUCCUACGGGAGGSAGCAGUAGGGAAUCUUCCACAAUGGACGAAAGUCUGAUGGAGCAACGCCGCGUGAGUGAAGAAGGGUUUCGGCUCGUAAAACUCUGUUGUUAAAGAAGAACAUAUCUGAGAGUAACU